UACCGUCAACAGUGUUUAAAAUCGUGGUGGUGUAUUGUGGUCGUCUGCUUAAGCAUUCUAGAUUCGGCUUUGUUUUCAGUGGAUACAAACGCAUAUAUGGUACGGAUAGUGCGCUGUUUUGCGGAGCAUUUUGCAAGUUUUUAAUUUUUAUUAUAUGUGAAAUGUUAUAUUUUGCACGCAAGGAUAUUUAUUGAACAAGAUCGUAUGGAAGAACUGGAUUAUGUGGAGUAAAUAACAGUCGAAUGUUCGGCCAAGGAUGGAGAAGAGGACUCUGGUGAAGAGGGCGCCGUCCUCCAAGCACUGUCCCGGAUAUGUCCCCCACUUCUGGAGGAUCAUCAGUCCUAACACAGGUGGAUAAGAUGAAAUCAGAGGCCUUUUUAAUGAAUUGAGAAUUUAAUAUUAGUUUUAGAGGCCAGAAGUUGAAGAAUCUUUGGGGUAUAGUAAUAUGAGCCUUCUCUUACAAAUCUUCUUCCUACAGCCAUUUUUCAACUACUCAUUGAACGUUCCAUUAGGAUUAUCUAUUCUUACCAAACAAGGCAAAAGAAGUUCAAAUGAACCACUUUUUUAGAAGAUUUACCAGCCAGUGAAAAACGAGGAAGCAUCUAAGACAAGAUUAUACUUCUACAGGUUUUUCUUCGCUUCUUCGUGUGACCCGUACUUCCAAUUUACCGUGUUCAGUUCUCAUCCAGUUUCUCCUAAGAUCAGCAGAUCAUAAAUUAUCCGUUUACGCACUUACCUGAAUCACGACUGCUUCAUUAAAGGUUUCAAAAAUGCCUCAACGAUUGUUUUCCAGAUACCAAUUUUCUGCAAUUACCAUCCAUGCAAGAAAAGAAUAAACCGCCUGGACACGCGCGCUGAGGUCAAAAUAUGUAUAGAAUCUUUCUGCCCCGCCUACCAUCUACUUGAGUUCUUAACAUGUAAAAUAUAUGCAUCUUUUUUGUUUGAUUUAAUUGUCUGAAAAAAAAAAGAGUUAUGAUAAAAUUUAAUAGA